rnacentral:rRNA from 1 species
AUUGAACGCUGGCGGCAGGCCUAACACAUGCAAGUCGAACGGUAACAGGAAGCAGCUUGCUGCUUCGCUGACGAGUGGCGGACGGGUGAGUAAUGUCUGGGAAACUGCCUGAUGGAGGGGGAUAACUACUGGAAACGGUAGCUAAUACCGCAUAACGUCGCAAGACCAAAGAGGGGGACCUUCGGGCCUCUUGCCAUCGGAUGUGCCAAGAUGGGAUUAGCUAGUAGGUGGGGUAACGGCUCACCUAGGCGACGAUCCCUAGCUGGUCGGAGAGGAUGACCAGCCACACUGGAACUGAGACACGGUCCAGACUCCUACGGGAGGCAGCAGUGGGGAAUAUUGCACAAUGGGCGCAAGCCUGAUGCAGCCAUGCCGCGUGUAUGAAGAAGGCCUUCGGGUUGUAAAGUACUUUCAGCGGGGAGGAAGGCGAUAAGGUUAAUAACCUUGUCGAUUGACGUUACCCGCAGAAGAAGCACCGGCUAACUCCGUGCCAGCCGCCGCGGUAA